rnacentral:lncRNA from 1 species
UAGUACCUAGUGCGCCAGAAUUACACUAAAAGAUUUUGGAGAUAAAUCUGAACUUUAGGUGGUGCUCUCACAUUGCAAGUAUAAGCAAUGUUCCUAAAUAGGAUUUCACAGGGACAAUAGUUGCUUCUGAAGAUACGCGCAUUUCUCUCCAACCAAAUGGCAUAGAACAUCUCUACACAUGCCAUUUUGAAAACUUGAGCUUUAGGGGAUUUCCCUUUGGU